rnacentral:lncRNA from 1 species
UCCUGGCCCUCUAAGACCGUUCCUGGCCCCCCAAGGCCCGUCCUUGUCCCCCCAAGGCCCGUCCUGGCCUUCCAAGGUCCUUUCUGGCCCUCCAAGGCCUUUCGUAGCUCUCCAAGACCAUUCCUAGCUUCCCAAGGCCCGUCCUGGCCCUCUAAGACCGUUCCUGGCCACCUAAGGCCAUUCAUGGCCCUCCAAGGCUCGUCCUGGCCCAUCAAGGACCGUUCCUAGCCCCCGCAAGGCCCGUCCUGGCCACCUAAGGCCAUUCCUGGCCCCCCAAGGCCCGUCCUGGCCCAUCAAGGGCCGUUCCUGGUCCCCCAGGCCCAUCCUGGCCCUCUUAAGGCCAUUCCUAGCCCCCCAGGCCUGUCCUGGCACCCAAGGCUGUUGCUAGCCCCCCAGGCCCAUCUUGGCCCCCAGGCCUGUCCUGGCACCCAAGGCUGUUGCUAGCCCCCCAGGCUCGUCCUGGCCCUCCAAGGCUGUUCCUGGGCCUGCAAGGCCCAUCCUGGCUCCCCAGGUCCAUCGUGGCGCCGGCGUUGCCCCGGGGGGAAGGCAGGGCAGGUCUGCCAGGGUCCGGCCGCCCCGUUUGCAAGCUGCUCAAAGUGCUUUUUUUCGUCCCCCUCUAUAGCACGGAGCGGGUCUUUCCUGCGUUACCGAGAGCCUCCUCCUCCGUUUUCCGCAUUUGGGGUGAAGUUUGACCCACGCAGGCCACGCGCCUGUUCCUCUCAGCAGUAGAAACCCCAAUGGCAGGCUGAGGUCCCCAUCUGCAAAGGCCUCCGAGCUCCUCUGAACGGACGAGGAGGUAUUUCUUCAGCCAGCGACAAGUGGUCUUUAAGAGCCUGAAUCUUUGAUCUCUGGGACUAAAAGCUGACAAAGGGAAACCGCUAUGCGAACAGGGAGGCCGGAGGGUUCGUCCCCAAGCGGUUCUGGCGCGAGCUUCAUCCCGCAGCAGCGAUCUUGGCCGGCGAUCCGGGGGAAGAGCCGCAGCCGUCGCCAGUCGGACUCGCAGACCUCUCUGCGGCGCGGGGGGCUGCGCAGGAGGAUGCUCGACCCCCGGCGUGAAACCAGUUUCCCCAGCUCCCGGACGGACCCAGGCAAUCCGGCGGAGGGGAGGCGGAAAGUGCACAGCGGAGACGUGCCCCCAGCGCCCCGGCGAGGAGGAAGCAAGCUGUAGCUGCACAGAAAAACUCCAAAACCUGCCAAGUCAAGACCUUCUCAAAUCCGGAGGAAGGUGGAAAGAAUCCAAAUUCACCACUCGCAAAAGAAAAAUGAACCCCGGUUUUAAAAACGCAGCCGGGCAGGCGAGCUGCGUGCCCGCUUGGCCGUUCGCCGCCGCUGCCGGCGGCCGAACCAGC